rnacentral:sRNA from 1 species
AAGAGUUGCCUUGGUCAUGGUGUCCAUCCAUAACCAGUGAAACCCUAAGUAUCUAGUAGAGGCACUUUUUUGAGAGCUUAAAUCAAAGAAUUCUACCUCAGAAAUCCUUCACACUUAGAAUUUUCGGAUCAUUAAUUUCUUGUCUGCUUGCUUACAUUGUAGCCAUUAAGAAGCUAAAAGUCAUUGAGCUGAGAACUCACUUUGUUGCCCAGGAAUGUGAUUCUCUUGCUUUAGCCUCUCAACUGGAACUACAGUUGUGCAUCAUCACAAUCCAGAUCUAAAUGAAGACGUCUCGGCUACCUCUCCAGCACCAUAUCUGCCUGCCAUGCUUCGUGCCUUUGAAUAUAAUGGACUGAACAGGUUGUUGAGGUGGUACUCAAGGAAUCAAAACACUAAGACUACUACUCCCCACCACAUUUUGAUGAAGGUAGUAAUAAAUUUCAAAUUCUGGGUCUAUUAGGCCUCAGUGAAUAAAUACAGGAGUAUAAAUAUAGUGUUUGAGUUUUGGUAUAAGACCAUUAUAAAGAGAAUUCAAGUAACAAUGUUAGUAUGUGAUAUUUCUAUAGCCUUUAAAGUUUUAAAAUAAUUUCACAUUUUAUUCAAUGCUUGCAACCUCUGAAUAAAGAAUUAAUUGUAUUUCAAUAAGAAAGCUGUCUGAGUGAAUUAAGGAAAACAGGCUAAGACAAGAUGUACUUUUAAGGCAUCUGGGAGGAUACUUAAGCUGAAUAAAAGAAAUCUGAAUCUCAAAUUAACCACUUGCAUUACUUUCUUAUUGCUGCUGUUAAAUAUAGUGGAUUAAAACAAUAGAAAUAUUUUUAUAGUUCUUUAGAAGUCAGGGAUAGGGUGAUAGUGGAAUGUAUUUCAUUCUAGAGGGAGAAUAUAUCUGUUUAGAUUGUGCGAUGAACUGGAUUCCUUUCUGUUUUAGGAAUGAGGUCAUCACUUUUUCUGAUGCUGUAGUCUGAGAGGUGUUUCUAGUUUGUGGAUGCUGCCAUGUUCCUCAGUUUCUCCUUCCUGCCUUCAAAGUUAGCAAAGUGGAUUGAGUCUUCAUAUUGUAUCUCUCUGGUAAGAAGAGGUUCUCCAAUUGCAUUAGUUACUUUUCUCAUUGAUGUGAAAAAAAAAAAAACCUGACAAAGCAACUUAAGGGUUUAUUUUUGUAUGUCCACUUUGAAGGUACAGUUCGACAUGGCUGGGAAGGCAUGGUGGUAUCCAGAGGUCUGCAAUAUCAACUACAUCUGCAGAAUAUCUUUUGUUUGCCUUGUAAGGUGACAUCUACUCAUCCUGGAGAUCAGAGUAUGACAUCUUGAUGGGGAUUCAUUAUUCUGAUUUAAACUGCUGGGAAUCAGAUGCUGACCCCACAGAGGUGAAUAAAGAACAGUCAUUCCUCACUAUCCAGCAACAUUUGAAUAACUCUCAGUGAAUUUGUGAAACUGGACAAAGAUGAAGCCAAGAACAAAAAUGCAAAGGAGACCAACAAUGAGCAGAAAGAAUUUGAAGAAAUAUCCACCAUAAUCUUGAGCAGCUGACUGCCUUGCAAGUGAGUCCUUGCUGGGGUGACCUGGACCUGAAUGAUGUAUCACAUCCAAACCUUGUGUCUCUUUCACCUGGGAGGUGAGGGUAGCGUGAAUUAGGAUCAGCAGGAGAAUGGAACAAAAUCAUAUACCAAACAAAAACCAAUAUGGACCAAAACAGUAUUUUUACUUAAUUUAUCACCAUCAAUUCUCUCUAAAGUCUUAAAUAGUUAAAAUUUCUUCUUAUAAGAUACUAAAGUAUACUUAGGAGGGAAUGUAUACUAAGUUAUACUAUUUUUGAUGUAAACUUGAUAGAAAUGUACUUCAAAAAACAUACCUAUUAAGAAAUAAAUACAAACUAUGAUUUAUUUGUAAGAUAUUAUAUUUAAAAUUAGUGUCAAUGAGCUUUUUGGUUUAUAAAUAUAGGUUCAUAAACACAGUGUGUUAAGACACUUAAAUGGCUAUAUUAUAAUGGUGAAUCACAUAUAUAAAGUACUGAAAUAUGUAUUUUCUUUCAACUUUAAAGCAUCUCUCUUAACAGCUGAGGUCAACUGAAAUAAAAUGCAAAUAGUGGUAUUUUCCUUUAUAUUAUAGGUACAUAACUACAGUCGAAUGGUUACACAACACACAAACUAUAUUGAGGAUAAUCUAAUAGUUAGUAUUAAAUUCUAGCCAUCAUUUACUAUUAGUACAUAUCAACGUGCAGAAACUCUGUUCUAAGCAAAUUAUCUUCAAAGAAACAGAAUACUAAUGAUAUAGUAAAUGCUCUUAAUUCACAGAUUAGGGACCGUGGCUCUCCUUUUCCUCCAGUUCUGAGAGUAGACCACAAAGGCCUUGUACAAACUAGGCAAGUGCUUUAUCACAGAACUAUAUCCCCAGCGUUCUGAGGGUUCAGAUACUGGCUUGUUCAAGUCAUAUGAAAGUAAAAUUUCCAGCACUGAUGUAGUUGGGCAGUUUUUACAUUUUUUUAUUAUUUAAUAAAUAAAUCUUACCAUUUUAACUCUAAUAGGAAAAUUAUCAAGUAAUAAAACUGUUUCUUCAGUCAAGCAGCUCUUCUAGUUUCCCCCUUUUUAACAAGCAUUCUAUGAACACUAUGUUGUGUUGUAACAUUAGAGCAAUUUAAUAGCUUCAAAGAACUUUAUUUAUAGGACAAAGUUCACUUCACAUGAUUAAGCUGGAAAAGCUUACGCAAAGACCACACCUUAAAAACAUCUUUAUAUCAUGCUGACGUCAUACAUUCUGAAAUAGUUCUGCUAUCUUGACAUUUUCUUCAGAUAGCCAGCUCUCCUGUUGUAGUUGGUUUAUAAUUCAUCUUCCUAGAUGCUGCUCUUAUAGCUCAAAGAGCCUCUCAGGAGACAGCUGUGUCAGACUCCUGUCAGCAAGCACUUCUUGGCAUCAGCAAUAGUGUCUGGGUUUG